rnacentral:misc_RNA from 1 species
UUUAAUAUAGUCAUCUUUAAGGCAAUUAGGUCUUUGUGGGUUCAUAUUUGGGCCAAGGACAUGUAUGAUGUGAGAUACCCCUUCCCUGAUAUACAAGGGAGAAUUUGAAGGAAGGGGAACAACAACAGCAUGUCCAGGGAGAAGAGAAGCUGCUCGUUCCUUAGUUGCAACCUCUAGGGCAGGACCUGCAGCACUGAAAAUUGCAGCAUUCACACCUCCACCUCCUGGUUUCAGUCGCCAAUUGGCAGCAUUAG